rnacentral:misc_RNA from 1 species
AACGCACAUUGCGCCCGCCAGUAUUCUGGCGGGCAUGCCCGUCCGAGCGUCAUUUCAACCAUCAAGCUCUGCUUGCGGUUGGGGAUCCGCGGCUGCCCGCGGUCCCUCAAAAACAGUGGCGGGCUCGCUAGUCACACCGAGCGUAGUAACUCUACAUCGCUAUGGUCGUGCGGCGGGUUCUUGCCGUAAAACCCCCCAAUUUUUAAGGUUGACCUCGGAUCGGGUAGGAGUACCCGCUGAACUUAA